rnacentral:rRNA from 1 species
CCAAUAGCGUAUAUUAAAGUUGUUGCAGUUAAAAAGCUCGUAGUUGAAUUUCGGGGUCCGUAGGUUGGUCGUGCUACAGGUACGUACUGGUCCCACUGAUUCCUCCUUCCUGAUGAGCUGUAAUUCCAUUAAUUUGGUGUUGCAGGGAAACCGGACUGUUACUUUGAAAAAAUUAGAGUGUUUAAAGCAGGCUAACGCUUGAAUACAUUAGCAUGGAAUAAUGAAAUAGGACGUUCGAUCCUAUUUUGUUGGUUUCUAGGAUUGACGUAAUGAUUAAUAGGGAUAGUUGGGUGCAUUAGUAUUCAAUUGUCAGAGGUGAAAUUCUUGGAUUUAUUGAAGACUAACUACUGCGAAAGCAUUUGCCAAGGAUGUUUUCAUUAAUCAAGAACGAAAGUUAGGGGAUCGAAGACGAUCAGAUACCGUCGUAGUCUUAACCAUAAACUAUGCCGACUAGGGAUCGGAUGAUGUUAAUUUUUUAAUGACUCAUUCGGCGCCUUACG